rnacentral:rRNA from 1 species
AGAGUUUGAUUCUGGCUCAGGAUGAACGCUGGCGGCGUGCUUAACACAUGCAAGUCGAACGGGAUCCCUGGCAGCUUGCUGCCGGGGUGAGAGUGGCGAACGGGUGAGUAAUGCGUGACCGACCUGCCCCAUGCACCGGAAUAGCUCCUGGAAACGGGUGGUAAUGCCGGAUGUUCCACAUGAGCGCAUGCGAGUGUGGGAAAGGCUUUUUGCGGCAUGGGAUGGGGUCGCGUCCUAUCAGCUUGUUGGUGGGGUAACGGCCUACCAAGGCGUUGACGGGUAGCCGGCCUGAGAGGGCGACCGGCCACAUUGGGACUGAGAUACGGCCCAG